rnacentral:rRNA from 1 species
UACGGAGGGUGCAAGCGUUAUCCGGAUUCACUGGGUUUAAAGGGUGCGUAGGAGGGCAGGUAAGUCAGUGGUGAAAUCCCCAAGCUUAACUUGGGAACUGCCGUUGAUACUAUCUGUCUUGAAUACCGUUGGAGGUGAGCGGAAUAUGUCAUGUAGCGGUGAAAUGCUUAGAUAUGACAUAGAACACCAAUUGCGAAGGCAGUUCGCUACACGAAUAUUGACUCUGAGGCACGAAAGCGUGGGGAUCAAACAGGA